GAUGAACGCUAGCGGCGGGCCUAAUACAUGCAAGUCGAACGAUAGAAGAGAGCUUGCUCUCUUCGAAAGUGGCGCACGGGUGCGUAACGCGUAUGCAACCUACCUUAAUCAGGGGGAUAGACCGAAGAAAUUCGGAUUAACACCGCAUAAAAUCACAGUACAGCAUUGUACAAUGAUCAAAUAUUUAUCGGAUUAAGAUGGGCAUGCGUGACAUUAGCUAGUUGGCGGGGUAACGGCCCACCAAGGCGACGAUGUCUAGGGGAUCUGAGAGGAUGACCCCCCACACUGGUACUGAGACACGGACCAGACUCCUACGGGAGGCAGCAGUAAGGAAUAUUGGUCAAUGGAGGCAACUCUGAACCAGCCAUGCCGCGUGCAGGAAGACGGCCCUCUGGGUUGUAAACUGCUUUUAUUCGGGAAUAAACCUCAUUACGUGUAGUGAGCUGAAUGUACCGAAGGAAUAAGGAUCGGCUAACUCCGUGCCAGCCGCCGCUGUAA
rnacentral:rRNA from 1 species